UUGGAGGGCAAGUCUGGUGCCAGCAGCCGCGGUAAUUCCAGCUCCAAUAGCGUAUAUUAAAGUUGUUGCAGUUAAAAAGCUCGUAGUUGAAUUUCGGGAUCAAUUUAUUGGCCGUGCUAUUGUACGUACUGGUAUUAUUGAUUCCUACCUUCUGACGAACCAUGAUGUCAUUAAUUUGGUGUCUUGGGGAAUCAGGACUGUUACUUUGAAAAAAUUAGAGUGUUUAAAGCAGGCUCACGCUUGAAUACAUUAGCAUGGAAUAACGAAAUAGGACGUUUGAUUCUAUUUUGUUGGUUUCUAGGAUCGACGUAAUGAUUAAUAGGGAUAGUUGGGGGCAUUAGUAUUCAAUUGUCAGAGGUGAAAUUCUUGGAUUUAUUGAAGACUAACUACUGCGAAAGCAUUUGCCAAGGAUGUUUUCAUUAAUCAAGAACGAAAGUUAGGGGAUCGAAGACGAUCAGAUACCGUCGUAGUCUUAACCAUAAACUAUGCCGACUAGGGAUCGGAUGAUGUUAAUUUUUUAAUGACUCAUUCGGCGCCUUACGGGAAAC
rnacentral:rRNA from 1 species